CAAUCAUAUAAGUUAACAUAAAUUGAGUUUUAGUAAACAUUAAGAGAUGAGACUGUCAUGUAUAUCGUUGGCUCUUGCUACAAUCUUUAUUAUGACUAUCACGCUUGCACCCAAAGUUUGGGCUAAGCCUUAUCCAGAUAUCUGUUGGUGCUGUCCUACGUGGCCUACUCCCGCUCCAGCGGAAUAGGAAGUUGACAUUUCUCAUCACUGCAGCACUGAAAAGAUAAUAGCUGCGUCUUCUUCGUGAUGAAACCUGGAAUAAAAUUUGCAGCAAAGUCUGGAAAAAAAUUGGAAUUAAAAUGGAAUAUAUA